rnacentral:lncRNA from 1 species
CAAACUGAGCAGAAGAGGAGUGAAAGUGCAGAAACAAUGAACAAUCAGUCGUCAAACAGGUAAAUUAACUUGCUUUCAAUCAAUUUACUAAGCCUGAUGUAGCUAUGAACUGGAAGAUGUUGUGGAUAAAUAGAAAUAUGUUUUAUUCAUUAACAUCGAAAAUAUUCCACCGUAGUUUGGUCGGUCAAACCACUCCAAAAUCCUUUAUUAUUAUUAUUAUUAUUAUUAUUAUUAUUAUUAUGGAUCUGAGAGUUACUUCUUUCGAUCUAUUUUUUUGCCCAUAUUAGGUAUUGGUAUGCACUCCAAUUUUGUUCCCUCUAUAUAGAAGAUAUAUAAUAGACAUUUGUAAUCAAUCAUUUACCUCUUGGAGGAUAAGUAAUAGUAUUUCAUUGUUCCAAGUAUAUAUGGAUUAAUGAAAAUAAAAUCCAUGUAUUAGAAAAGAAAAUUAUCCAUGAUGUCGAAAGUUUAGGCUGCGAACCCUUUGUUUUCUUGAACUCAUCUUCACAUCCUGAUUUAAAGGUGGCUCAACCCUUAGGCAGGUGAGACAUUGCCUCAAAUCCUAUAUUAUAUAAGGCCACAAAUUUUAGAGGCUUUGAUACUAGUUUUAUUUCUUUACACUUUCUACAUAUUAAUAGAAAGGUAUCAUCAGAGUUUUUUUCCCAAGUACCCAAAUUGCUUGAUCUCACUCCGUUGAUCUUGGUACCUUUCUUGGAGAUUUUGUCCCAACAGUAGUACUACUGAAUACAUAGAUGACAAGAGAGGAAAUGAAGAUUUAGAAAAGCUCAAAGGCUUUGGUCUCUCUGAGAAUGUUGUGUUUCAUCAACUUGAUGUAAUGGAUCCAACUAGUAUUGCUUCCCUUGCCAAUUUCAUAACAAACAUUUAUAGGAAGCUUGAUAUUUUGGUAUGAAUUCUUAGUAAGGCUGAAAAGUAAGAACUGUCUAAUUUAUUUUUAUGAGUCUAGACACACUAAACUCUGAUUUAGUGAUUCGUAUCUGUAAAAGACGAAUUAGGAGCCAUUGACUUAAACUAAAUUUAGAUUUUGAUAAAACUUGACUAAAUAUGUGGUUGAAAAGUUGAUAAAAACUACGGGUCUCAUGAAUAUAUAGUUAAAAUAAAUUGUUAAUUUUUAUUAACUUUUUUAGAUACACCAAACGUGUGCAAAAUUUACAAUGUUGAUGGAAGACUUCAUACAAUGUAUGCAAUGAAGACUUAAUAUACAUUAAACAUUAUUGUAAGACUGUAUCUUGUUAAAUCCUUCAAAAAAGUUAAAAAAAUGUCAAAUCCUGUUCACCAAUAAUGAUAUAUUCAAAAUAAAUUAAUAAUCUUAUAAUGUUAAUUAAAAAAUAAGAAUCUUACAAUGAAGUUCUUGUCUCCAUUAUGGAAAAUGGAGCAUUUGAUUAAAAACAUGUUUAUGGACCGCAGUUCAAAGUUAAAUUGGCAGUAUAAUUUUUGAAGUGGAGUAGGUAGGAGUGACUUGUCUUUUGUUUGUGUGUGUGUGUGUGUGUGUGUGUGUGUAUAUAUAUAUAUAUAUAUAUAUAUAUAUAUAUAUAUAUAAAAGAGAGAGUAAUAUUAAGCUUCAAAAUGAGCAGAGAGAAGAGUGAAAGUGCAGAAACAAUGAGCAACCAGUCAUCAAACAGGUAAAUUAACUUGCUUUCAAUUAAAUUAUUUAGCCAUAUUUAGUUUUCAUAUUUGACUAAUUAAUAAUCGUAGUGAAACAUACUGUUAGACUGUAGUAGAAAAGAAAAUUUUCCAUGAUGGCUGUUAAUCUUUCGUUGAAAUUAGUUUAGAUUGAGAACUGUUAAUUUUCUUGAUAUCAUCUUUUCAUACCUAAUCUAAAGGUGGCUCAACCCUUAGGCAGGUGAGACAUUGCCUAAGGUCCUAUAUUUAUACAAAGCCACAAUUUUAGAACAUUUUCCCCUCUUUCUACUAACUAAUAGAACAGUUAUUGUAAGAGUUUUUCCUACAGUACCCAAAUUGCUUGAGCUCGCUCCAUUGAUCUUGGUAACUUUCUUGGAGAUUCCAUCCCAACAUAAAUACUAAUGAGUUCAUACCCAAAUGGUUGUGUGGCAAUUUUGAUAUUCAGUACCAGAUAGAGAUGGCAAUUUAGCUCUCGCGGCUCAGGCUGCCCAUGGCUCGAUUGGGAAAAAGCCUGAUCUAGCCCAACUCGAGGCUCAACCUGAGCCCCCAUUUUGGGUAUCGAGCUGAGCCCCGAGCUGGCUCGUUAAAAAAAAAAAGGCAAUAGAGAGGUGCCUUUAAAAAGGCAAUAUGUGUUGCCAGUCAUAUAAAAAAAAUUGAGCCUACUCGACUCGGUAAGGCCCGAGCCGAAAGCUCAGGUCGAGCCUCGAAUUUUUCGUCGAGCUUUUGCUCAACUUGGACCAAAAAAAUCCGUCUUAAUUUUACUUCGAUUCACAAGUUGGUUCGAUUCAACUCGUUGACAUUCCUAGUACCAAACAAGAUUAGGUAGUAUUAAGGGAAAAAAAUAAAAAAUCAUGUCUAUCGUAUUGUCUAAUCUUAUUUGAUAUACUUGAUAUUGUUCAUCUAACAAGCCCUUACCGUUUGCAUCUUUUUAUUUAUCUAGGUAUGCAGUUGUGACAGGGGCAAAUAAAGGAAUAGGGUUUGAGCUAUGUAGGCAGUUGGCAUGUAAAGGAGUCAUUGUGGUUUUGACAGCCAGAGAUGAGAAGAGAGGCAAUGAAGCUCUAGAAAAGCUCAAAGGCUUUGGUCUCUCUGAAAAUGUUGUGUUUCAUCAACUUGAUGUAAUGGAUCCAACUAGUAUUGCUUCCCUUGCCAAUUUCAUCAAAAACAUUUAUGGGAAGCUUGAUAUUUUGGUAUGAAUUUUUCUUCUUUUUUCAAUGUUUUUUAUUUUCUAAAUUUUGUCCUUUUUUAUUUUUUUGGCCCAAUUUUUUUGUGUUUAUUGGUUAAUCUAUUCUAUAAGAAUGAUAGAAUUUCGGGGAAAACGUCAAAAUAGGGACAGGUAGAUUAAAAGUAACAUAGCCUGCGGAAGUGGCUAUACUUGUUGUUUUUAGACUUCGAGAAGAUAUGGAGGAGCAAAAAAGUUUUCAUCUAGCCAACCUCAAGAAAGUAGCGAAAUUUUAUAAUUUGUAGCCGACCCUAAAUUGUGAGGUAACAAGCUUAGUUACAUCCCAUAUUAUGGUAGAAAAAAGAAAGAAAAAAUCUCCUGACCUCGAUUUUUUGGACAAGAUUGGCUGCCAUAAAAUAGGGGCCGGGCUGGGCCUCUACAAAGUCAGUUCAUUUAACACUUCUAGCUAUUCAUUAUGCAACCAAUGUGGAUCCAAUGCAUGCUUAAGAAAUCACCUACUGUUCCUGAGUAGCUAAGUAGUAGAAUAGUUCACUUUGAACUACAUUUCAACAUAGCUGAGAUUUUUUCUCAUAUUAUAAAAUUAAGAAUUGUUCAUCUUUCUUUAUUAAUUAAUGUGGGGAAGCAAUAAUGCUGCUUUUAAGCUCGUGGGCUUGAUCACUCAAAUGAUGAUCAUCGAAUGCCAUAAAAGGUUUAGCUUGACCUCACUUGAUAUUAAUCAAUUUUUAGAUGAGAUAGUUAAAGCCUGUUCCUACAAUUAGUAUUUUUAUUAUGAACUGUUAUUUUAAAAAAUCUGAAAAUUUUGCAGGUGAAUAAUGCUGGUAUGAUUGGAGUAAGUAUAAAGGGAGAUGUCUUAGUUAUUAAAGAUAUAAUUGAGGCAGAUGUAGUUUCAAUUCCUGAUGACACCAAGGUUGGUCUUUGACUCUUUGUACUAUAUUUAUUUCAUCACUCAACUGAAAACUUCAGGUGAAAUUGAAUACUAUUAGUUGAGAAUAAAAUGUUUACUGCUAAUGACACUUUUAGACAAACAUAAUACAAGACGAUCAGACAUUAUAAUUGACGAAAUUUUUAACUUCUUUCUAUUUCUUUAUAUUGUUGAGUGCUAUAAAGUCAGUCUACCGAACAAGUUAAUUGUUCGUACAUGAAAAAGUCUGUAUGCAGGGAGAUAUAUCACCUUUUCAUAGAAUAUGGAAAUCACUUCAAUUGUUAUUCCUAUUGAGUUUUUUGAUUCAAAAUGUUAACAUGUUUUCAUAGAAACUAGAAUGUUUGGAGGAAGUAAAUGACUAAAUGAGGAUGUUAUAAUGGAUGCAUGUGUGAUCAUGGUAAAAUAGAUAAGAUAAGAAAUAGUAGACUAAAGCAGUCGGGACAUUUUUUAUUUUUUUUAUUUGCUUUGUAAAAUUAAAGAGAAGUUAUGAUAUUACACAGAAUAACAGGUUAAGAAAUUGACAAAUUAUGUGUUUGAGAUGUGUCUUGUAUAUACCUAAAUAGGCUCUUAUGCUGCUAUCAAUACAAUAGGUUAAAAGAGGAAAUGGUAAACCAAAACUAACAUGAUCAUUGUAGUUUUAAAAGGUACAGUCCAUUUGGAUCUUUGAGUAGUUUACGCAGUAGUGAAGAGAGAUUUAUGCAGUCGACCACUAAUUUAUAGAACUUAAAGGCAGGAUCAUUUCAAUAACAGAUUUUCUUUCUUCAAUAAUGCAGCCACAAGAAGCUCAUAUCGCAGCAAAUGGAAAACUUGUUCAGACAUAUGAAUGGGCAGAACAAUGUUUGCAAACUAACUAUUAUGGUACAAAGAGAAUGAUUGAAGCAUUUAUUCCACUCUUAAGGUUGUCUGAUACGCCAAGGAUUGUGAAUGUGUCUUCUCUCAUGGGUAUAUUGAAGGUAAAAGUUAUUUACUUCUGUGGAAAAAGAAUUUCGGAUGACCAAAAUAGUGAAGAAAAUUAAAAAGAACCGCGUUUUUAAAAAUUUUGUAUAAAGUGACCUUACUUUUAGUAAUUAAGGGUGAGCCAACCUAAGAUAAUUUAGGGGAUUAUAAAAACUUGAAUUUUGGAACAGAACACAACUCUUCAAGAACCUGACAUAUGCUAUUUCUCCUGAUCCCACAUCCAGUUUCAGUCCAAUGAAUGGGCAAAACAAGUGCUAUGCAAUGCAGAAGAACUCACAGAAGAUAAAGUAGAUAAUGUGCUCAACAAGUUUCUUCAAGACUUCAAAGAAAACUCAUUGAAAGUCAAUGGCUGGCCGGAACAUGUACCUGCAUACAGAUUGUCGAAGUCUGCCAUUAAUGCCUAUACAAGAAUUAUUGCCAAAAAAUACCCUAAUUUCUACAUCAACUGCGUGUGUCCUGGAUAUGUGAAAACUGAUAUAAAUGCCAAUACUGGUUCAUUGACUGUUGAAGAGGGUGCAGAUAGUCUGUUGAAGCUGGCAAUGCUGCCGGAUGGGAUGGCCACGCCCCCAUCUGGACUGUUCUUUUACCGGCAGAAUGUAUCGAACUUCUAAUAGUUUGGUCCUUUCAAAUGUUAUAUUUCUCAAGUAAAUGUAUGGGGUUUGAAUUGAAUAAAGAUUUAUGUAUUCAUGAUAUUGGUAAUGGAUUUCCUACAAAAUUUUAUCCCUAAAAUUAUUUAUUCCCUCCCUUUGUUGCAUAUGUUUAGUUGGCCCAAACCUAAUUAAAACUCUUCAAUUGAAGCGGAUUUAGGCUUUCAUCUGCAGUUCGAAUUAUGAGAUUUUUGGCUUCUGUUAUAGAUCGAUUGCUGUGAAAUGUUGCUUUAUCUAAAAAUCGAUUUCUUUGAUAUUGUCUUCCAGGUAUGUCUAUUCCAAGAUUAUAUAUUUAUAGAGUUUUACUACUACCUGUAAUUUCUUUGUAUGAAUUGCUGCUGAAUCCAUUAGUAAAUGUGUUGUUCGAGAAAUUUAAAGUAGAUGUUGGAGACUCUAGGGUUUUAGAUGUGGUGGAAAAGUGUCAAGAUUACUCCAUCUCCAUGCUCCUUGCCAGACUUUUAUUAUGUCGGUGGCGGCAGAGCAAUGCCCCUAUGAAUGUUUAUUGAGAAAUUUAAGCUAGAUGUUGGAUGCAUUCUUUUGUGAUCUUUGUCCAUGUUUCUUGCUAGACUUUUAGUAAUCCAAACAUGGCGACCGAGAUGGACAUUUAGGCCAUGAGGAUAUUUAUUCUCCACCCAUCACCUGAAAAUCUUAGGACAAGAAACAGGAAAGGUCGUCCCGCUUGCCCCGUUUUCUGGAGUUAUUGACUUUAUUGUUAUGUAUCAUAGCCGAAUUAGAAGAGGGCUUGCAAAGAUAUAGUUCUAUUAGGAUGUAUCCUUAUUUUGUCUUUCUAUUAUGGAUCAAUCAACAUAAUAAUCAAGUUGCUCUAGAUUUUUUCCAAGUGCUAUUCUCGACACUUCAGAAGCUUUUAUGUUAUCUAUGUGCUCAUCUCUAGACGAGAUUUCUUCACCAGAGGAUCUCUUUUGUGUUAAUUUGACCUUAUGCAAGUUUACAGACCUCGAUUCAUCAUUUCUUACAACUAGCAACAAUAUCUAUCACAGAAUCGAAACACUAGUAGAAUGAGAAUAUGCAAUAAAAAAUUUGCACCUUCAAUCUAGAUUUGCAAGAAGUCAGACUUGUAGUUUCACACAUCCCAUUACAUUAUGCUUUCUGGUAAAAUAAGUAAUUUAAGAUUCGAACAAGCACUUGAAUGAUAUAAAACCCACCCAAGACUUGUCCUCUGUAUUCCAAAAUUAGUCAUGGCAGAACUUGAAGCUUCCCAUAUUUUUUGGAGUUCUUGAAAUUUCAUUUACUUGUUGAACAUCAAGAAUUCCAGACCGGGGCUAUUUUUGUGUACUUCUUUAGUGUUUCGGCAAGCGAGAUUUCAGGCAAGCCCCUGUGAUACAGGAAAGGGCUAUGAUAUAAAUUUACUGUGAUCUUUGUAGUUCAUUCCAUUUAUAUAUAUCAUCGUCUUAGUAUGAAGUCAUAACAAUCAGCAUUAUCACACUUCUCAAAAAUUACUCCUUAUCGGUUGGGUCAAAAAGGAAGAUGAAAAUCUCAUAAUUGUUCUUGAUGAAAAUCUCAUAAUUGUUCUUGAUGAGUACGGAGAUAAUUGUUCUUGAAAAUCUCAUAAUUGUUCUCAAAAAUUACUCCUUAUCAGUUAAGCUAAUCCUUCGUUGUUUGCAAUUCUAGCAUUUCACACUAGGGAAUAUCCAGAUUAAUUUGAAUAUAUGUGGAACAUUCAUAGCUGGAAUUCUGAUGCCAUGUUUCUUCUGUUUUUUGUUGAUGUAUUUCUUGAACAUUUUACUGUCUGUUGGCUAUACAUACAUCCCCUCUUGGAAUUUUUCUUGCACCUCCAUGUUGUGUGUUGUAAGAGAUGCGACAAAAGGUUGUCGUUUUUUGAUAGAAUUUCUAUACCGAUGUUAUUACGAGUAAGCAUGUGGUUAACAUCAGUUUCUCAUCAAAGUUAACAUAAAUCCCAAGAUAAAAAAUUCCAAAACCAUGUUUGUUGUCAUUUUUAGUAAGAGCGAAAAUUGUGAAUCUUAAUUUUUUUUGUAGAAAGGUAGUUUUGUCCCUAAGUAGAUAAGUUUAAGUGAUUUAUAUCUAUUACACUUUAACCCUUUUUUUUAACGCUACCACUUUUAAUCAUUCACUGGCUUCUGAGAAAGUUUUUUUAUUUUUUAUUUUUUAAGUUUCUUGCAUUUUGUUUCUAAAUAUGUCGUGUUAAUGGUAAAAAUUAUUGUUCUUCAUAUAUUGAAUCGUUAAUAAUGAAAAAUUAUAUUCUCAUAUUUAUUUUGACCUUAUCUUUUACUAAAUUUAUUGUCGGUUGAAUAAAAUGUUUUGAUUAUGAGAUUAAAACAUUUUGUAGGGGCCUUACAAAGAGUUUUUGAUAAAAGAGCUUCCUUCAAUUCAAAUUGCAACAAGGUAAGUUCGUAAAUCCAAGUACCCCAUCAUCAAGUUGUUUUACAGUGUGUGUUUAUAUUCUCAUAAUCAAGUGAUUUAUUUAGGUUGGUGCUUCAAUGUCUCUAUGUGUUUAUGUAUAUGAGGAUAUAAAUAGCAUUUCAUAGUAAAUGGUGUCAUUUAUUGGAUUUAAUGUAACUACAUAAAUGGAGGAGACUGGAACUUGUAUGUGCAAAAGAGAGUGUACUGCAUGCAUCUUUUAGCCUAGUUAACUGAACAAAUCUAUUAAUUUUAUAAUUGAACUUUUACGUUGCAUUUUUUCUUAUAAGGAUGGUUCGAAGUUUCCCGAAGUUGACACAUUUGAGUUCGCUUAUGCUAGGAAGAACAAGUGUUGGACUUGUAAUGCAGCUAAAACUCAACAUUAUAAAAUUGUUUUCUUUAUCGUGUUUUAUCUACCAUGUUAGACACAAAAUAUAUAUUGCAAAGUUAAAUUAAAAAAGGCUAGAAAAUUACAAUUAGAUUAAGUAGGAUGACAAUUUUUAUAUGUUAUUCGUGGGGCUAUUUCGGAAACGAACACUAUCAUGGUCAAAAUGUUUUUGAGAGAUGAUUAUAUUUCUUAGCUUGUGCUAUGUCUCUUGUGUACAGUUGUGUUAUCUCUUGCAAACUUUGAUUUUAUAGACUGUUUUAUAUAUCUUGUUGGUUAUGUUUGUAGGAUGAAAUAAUUGUCAAAGAGCAUGAAUAUCUUAUAGAGAGGCAAAGGAUCAGCAACUUCCUAAAGAUAUCCUUUUGGAGGAGAUACCGAUAGAUGAUUUUGAUGCCGGAAUUAAUGUCAUGAUGUUCGUUCUAGGUACGAAGCCCAGGCGCCAAAUUCUUGGGUUAGGGGAUGGUCGCCUUCGAGACAUUAGAAUAUCUUCUUCCAAUGUACACAAUUUGGGGAAGGAGUUGGAAGCAGAACGUGCUACUCGAAAGGUAGUCGAUGUGGCUUGAGUAAACAUGGAGCAAAAUAUGCAAAACAAGUUAAAGGUUGUUGAGCAACAAUUCAAUUCUAUAUUACAAUCUUGGAAUCAUUCUAUGCACCAACUAUGUGAUAAAGUUCCUCACUUUAUUGUGCCACCAUUUAUACCAUUGUCAAUAGAGAAAAAUCGUAAUGAGAAAGAUGAUACUAUUGAGGAUGAAGAGAAUAAUUUCGAUGAGAAUCAGUGUAUGUCUAAUUCACGAGACUGAAGAGUCAUGUUUUUUAUUUGCAUAAUAAUAGAUAUAUAGCAUGUUUGCUUUGCUUAUUUUAACUUAAAAUGCAAUCAUACUUGGUGAAACUCAUUUAUUCGUGUUUUGAUGAAAUAUUUUGGAUUCAAUGCUG